CGGAAGAAGCAGGGCAAAGUAGUAUUUCCUUGUUGGAUUACGUUAGACAGAAACAACGCAAAGUACACUUAGUGUCCAAUGUUAUGAAUAGUAAUUUAAGCUAACCAAGGGUCGUACUAAGUUUAUGUACUUGUCCAGAAAACAAAGGACGAAAAGACUUUAUAAAUGAACAGCGGAUGAUUUGUUGAACUACUUUACUUUGUGCGUACAUUGAGAACAGAUGCUUGUAGCCUGCAGAUGAACUUGCAGAUACUUAUUUGAGCAAGGAUUGGAAUAAUACCAAUUUAUACUAAUGGAGUUUCUUGUCGUACGUGAAUAAUUAAUGUGUAAAACUGGUCAAUCAUCGCUACAAAACUGUCCCAUAAAUCUGAAAACUGUCACACUCUGUUAACUCUAUCCUUACACAAUGUGUCAUGUCGUAGAAGUUUCAUGUCGGAUUUACUUAUUGAGCUAAUACAAAAAAAUCAAAAUAUUCUUCUCCAUUCAACAUGGACAUGAUACAAGUUUAUUUUUUGUUUGAAUUAACUGUUGCUUAUUUGUUAUGCAUGAGCUACUUGACCCACGGUCGAAUGUACACAAGUGGAAGUUCCAGAUAUCACAGUUCUGGAGUACGACGGAAGGAAGAACCCAAUAAUGCCGAAAAGUAUAUUUCAAGCUUAUGGAAGAGUGCACUAGGAAGAACUGGGGACGAAUCGAGAAACAAGAUGAUUAAAUUGACACCAAAUGGAGGUCCAGGGCCGACAGUGUUAAAAAUAAUAACACAUGGAGAGAGUGCAAGUAAACAACCAUUAUCCAUUCUUAGUAGUGGAUCUGAUGAUGACUUAUUCGAUUUUAGCAGUUCAACCGGUAAAAUAAUGAAGAUCCCGGAUUCCGCAUUAGGACCAAUACAAAUAAUAAAAUCCCCAGGAAAAUCUGCCAGCAUUCUCGUCACAACAAGGAGAGGCAAUAAAUCAUUCUCAAACAGGAUAAACAAAAACAGUUCUAAUAACAACCAGCAAAAUAAUAACAAUCAAGCUACAGAUACAAACCGUAACUACGUUGGAACAUUCACAGGAUUUUUAGCGGAAUCAUUGUGUCCAUUAUGUAGAAGACUUGUUAACCCUAGAUACAGGAUUUCGUGUUUGCUAAGAUACUGUUACGAGAAUCCAAAUAUUUCUAGCGGAAAUCCUCGUUGAAAAAUAUCAGCAAUAUAUGUAUAAAUCAAGUGUAAGUGUAACUUUUGUGCUAUUCUCAAAGGCGCUUUGCUUGUAUCAGGAGAAUGGGUAAAUACAAUUUGGGUUGAAAUAUGAACAAUGUUUAGCCCUGCGUGGGAAAUAUAAAUAGAAUCUUUGUUAGUUUCGAAAGUAAAACUGUGGUGACUAAAACCUUGUAAAUCCUAACGUUUGUUAAAUAAGUUAUAUUUAUAUUUAUAUGUACAGCUUAGUAAUAUAUUUUAGACUUCCACAUAAAAACGAAGAUUUUAAUGUAAAGUUACACAUAUAUGUAAAGUUACACACAUAUUAUACAUUUAGAUAUGUAAAGUUACACACAUAUUAUACAUUUAGAUAUGAAAUACGUCUAAAGUUUCACUUAUUUUCUUUUUAUGAUAUAACAGUUCUUGACUUUCUGUUUAUGAUAUAACAGCUAUUGUCUUAACAACCUUGAUUUUUGUUUAUAAGGUUACAGUUGUUGACUUUCUGUUUAUAAUGUAACAGUUAUUGAUUUGACAAACUUGAAUUUUGUUUAUAAUAUAUCAGCUUUGAUUUGACAAACUUAUUUUCUGUUUAUAAUGUAACACUUUUUGACUUUACAGAAAAUUGUUUUUCGUUUAUAUAUAGGGGUAUUACACUUCAUAUGAAUUUGUAAGGCUAUGACACGUCAUAUGAUUUGUAAGGCUAGUACACGUCAAAUGAUUUUGUAGAGCUAGUACACGUCAUAUGAUUUUGUAGGGCUAUUACAAUGUCAUAUGAUUUUGAAGGGCUAUUACUCGUCAUAUGAUUGUGUAGAGCUAGGACACAUCAUAUGAUUGUGUAGGGCUAGAACACAUCAUAAGAUUUUGUAAGGCUAUUACAUGUCAUUAUCUUUUGUAGGGCUAUUAAACAUAUGUAGGUGUAGAGCUAUUGCACGUCAUAUGAAUAUGUAUGGCUAUUACACGUCAUAUGAUUGUGUAGGACUAUUACUCGUCAUAGUAUUUUGUAGGGCUAUUUCACGCCAUUUGAUUUUGUAGGGCUAUUUCGUAUCAUAUGACUUUGUAGGGCUAUUACUCGUCAUAAGAUUUUGUAGCACUAUUACAUGUCCUAUGAUUUUGUAGGGCUAUUUCACGUCAUUUAAUUUUGUAGGACUAUUUCAUAUCAUAUGAUUUUGUAGGGCUAUUAUUCGUCAUAUGAUUUUGUACCGCUAAUUCACGUCAUUUAAUUUUGUAAGGCUAUUUCACGUCAUUUGAAUUUGUAGGGCUAUUUCAUAUCAUAUGAUUUUGUAGAGCUAUUACUCAUCAUAUGAUUUUGUACCGCUAAUUCACGUCAUUUAAUAAUGUAGGGCUUAUUUCACGUCAUUUGAUUUUGUAGGGCUAUUUCAUAUCAUAUGAUUUUGUAGGGCUAUUUCAUAUCAUAUGAUUUUGUAGAGCUAUUACUCAUCAUAUGAUUUUGUAGCGCUAUUUCACCUCCUUUAAUGGUUUUGUAAGGCUAUUACAUGUCAUGAUUUUACAGGGCUAUUACAAGUCAUAUGAUUAUGUAGGGUUAUUACAUGUCAUAUGAUUUUGUAGUGUAUUACACGUUAUAUGAUUUUGUAAGUUUAUUACAUGUCAUGUGAUUUUGUAGAGUUAUUACACGUCCUAUGAUUUUGUAGGGCUAUUUCACGUCAUUUGAAUUUGUAGGGCUAUUUUAUAUCAUAUGAUUUUGUAGCGCUAUUUCACCUCCUUUAAUGGUUUUGUAAGGCUAUUACAUGUCAUGAUUUUACAGGGCUAUUACAAGUCAUAUGAUUUUGUAGUGUAUUACACGGUAUAUGAUUUUGUAAGUUUAUUACAUGUCAUGUGAUUUUGUAGAGUUAUUACACGUCCUAUGAUUUUGUAGGGCUAUUUCACGUCAUAUGAUAUGUAAGGCUAUUACAUAUCAUAUGAUUUUGUAGGGCUAUUUCACGUCAUAUGAUAUGUAAGGCUAUUACAUGUCAUAUGAUUUUGUAGGGCUAUUUCACGUCAUUUGAUAUGUAAGGCUAUUUCACGUCAUUUGAUAUGUAAGGCUAUUUCACGUCAUUUGAUUGUGUAGGGCUAUUUUACCUCAUUUGAAUUUAUAGGACUAUUACACGUCAUAUGAUUCUGUAGGGCUAUGACAAGUCAUAUGAUAUUGCAGUGGUAUUACAAUUCAUAUGAUUUGGUAGAACUAUAACCGGCACAUGUUUUUGUACUACAUAAAUACAUACGUAUAUAUCUUACUGUUUCAACCCCCAUUGACGUACUAAAUUUAACAAUGAACCAAUAAAUUAAAGGCUUAAGUGAUAAGUUAUAUUAUUUGGGCUGUAAUUUUGUCAUUAAAUUGCAACAAAAGAAAAAACAAAAAAAACUUGUAAAUCAAAACUUGAUAACGUCACACUAACUGAAAGGUGAUUAAGCAGAAAGAAAAUCAUACCAAGAGCUGCCGGGUAUACCAUAAAAGCAUAAAACAAACUUGGCCAGUCCAUUUACAACAUACUUUCAAGUUCUCUCUCUAAUACAUGCCACGAUGCUAGUUUUGGAACUAAAUGAUAAGCAGCAGAAAAUUUUCGUAGUAAGUUUUGGAGGGAGGAUGUAUAUCUUUAGCUUUGGUUUUGCUCCGUGUGCGGCUCGAAUCAAAAUGAGAAAUAAACCUCAAAUAGACUAUUUUCAUAUUACCGACUUUUGACUCCGGAUUAUAUAAUUUUUCGACAGGUUACCUUUUCUGUGGUUAGACAUCCUGGUACUCGGUCAAGUAAGAGCAACCAAAAGAAGAAAAAUCAAACACAUAAUCCGUGCAAUUUGAGGGGAAAGUUUUCUGUUUUCUGAUGAUUUUAUCGUGUUAGGAAAAUAUAAAGCAGUUAAUUUUCCCCAUACAUUGUAUCGAUUAAAAGCUUGAUUUUACUUUUUUACGUUGCUCUUACUUGACCAAGUACCAGGAUGUCCUACCACAGAAUAGGUAACCUGUCGAAAAAAUAUAAACUCCGGAGACAAAAGUCGGUAAUAUGAAAAAGGUCUAUUAAAUACAAGGACACAAAUUUUGUGGGGGAAACUAAUUACAUAUAACAUGUACAGGUAACAAGACGUUGAAAAUGAUCCGAACGUGAAUAAAAAAAAUGAUAGAAUUUUAUUAAAGUCUUAUAAUUACUGAAUUUAUUUAUUACUUAAAUAAAAUUCCAUUAAGGUAUAGGGAAAGUAACACAAUUGAGAAAAUGACUUUAUUAGAAUCUAUGUUAGCGAAGUCGAAUUCUAUUUUAAGUCAUAUUGACAUUUUCACGCAAGAAAUAACCAUUUCGUUGACUGAUCCGGCCCAUAAAAAUUCAUUCUUAUGCAGGUAAAACGAUGAUUUACAUAUAUUUUUUAACCUAACAUGAAAUCAAAUAGACCUAGAAAAUUUGAUUGUUCGUGCUCGCUAUCUAUUUUUAUUUAUGUUUAUGUUUAUACCGGGUUAUAUGACCGUCGGCAGUCUUCGAGGGACAACUUGAUGGAUAAUAAGAGGGCAUCGGGUUUAAAAAACGUUCGAAAUGCUAAUAUAUUAUAGCGAGCCCAUGUGUUGUUAAUUUUGUAAUUUUGAUAUACGUUUUAGUAUGUUAUAAAUAAAAUAUGAGAAUUUGGGUCAAACCGGUGUCCAUGAUUUUGACAGCUAAUGCCCUUUAAAUCUAUGUAAUGAAUUUUUAGGUUUUGAAAUGGCGUAUUAUGCGCACUUCUGUAUCUAUGUUUGUUUUAAGUAGACUACUGAAAUCAGUUUUAGCAAUGUAAGAGGUAAUAUUCGAAUUGAAGUACAUUGGAAGUAUUGGAAUGAAAAAAAUGUCUUUGUGCCAAACGGGUGCAAUUCAUCGUGAUCUUUCUUUUUCUUCCGAUACAUUUUUAUCAAACAAAAUUUCUCAUGCAUUGUAUAUUCUGUGAAGAAUUUAAUUCAUUUAUAUUUGUGUAAUAACUCUUGUAUUGGGUAGUGAAAUUCACCUUUCUAGCUGAACUGACUUUAUUAUUGUAUGACUUAUUUUCGAAAUUGAAAUUGCGAUUAAAGUGGCCAUUUCCAUGUGCUAUUCAACUAGUGCAGUUUUCGCCUAGUGCAAUAUUGGUGAAUAUCCAUAACGUUCUGCAAGCAAUAUAACGUAUUGUAAUAGUCGGUUCUUCCAUGUGGUAAAUUGAUUUCACUAUUUCAGUCGGAUUCCAACGAGUUAUAAUAAGUUUGAGGUUUGUUUUUUAUUGUACAUACGGAAAUACAUUUCUUUAUUUUUUGUAGUAAAUAUUGUUUGCUUCUUUUAUUGUAUGCUUCUUUGUGAAAAAAUAAAUGUUCGGUAAAUGUGAAUCAUAAGAUGCAACAAUAGUUAAGCAAUGUAUAAACCUCGUUAAUUCAUCUUAAAAAGAAACAAAACCCAAGGAAAUCGCAUUAAAUGUGCAAAAUUCAUCUAUCGAUAGUGUAUGUGUCUCCUGUUAUGUUUGCAGCAACUUUGUUAACAUUUAUGUAUGUUUCUGCAAUAAAGGUGAUCGACAGGU